GAUGAACGCUGGCGGCGUGCCUAAUACAUGCAAGUCGAGCGAACGGACGAGAAGCUUGCUUCUCUGAUGUUAGCGGCGGACGGGUGAGUAACACGUGGAUAACCUACCUAUAAGACUGGGAUAACUUCGGGAAACCGGAGCUAAUACCGGAUAAUAUUUUGAACCGCAUGGUUCAAAAGUGAAAGACGGUCUUGCUGUCACUUAUAGAUGGAUCCGCGCUGCAUUAGCUAGUUGGUAAGGUAACGGCUUACCAAGGCAACGAUGCAUAGCCGACCUGAGAGGGUGAUCGGCCACACUGGAACUGAGACACGGUCCAGACCCCUACGGGAGGCAGCAGUAGGGAAUCUUCCGCAAUGGGCGAAAGCCUGACGGAGCAACGCCGCGUGAGUGACGAAGGUCUUCGGAUCGUAAAACUCUGUUAUUAGGGAAGAACAUAUGUGUAAGUAACUGUGCACAUCUUGACGGUACCUAAUCAGAAAGCCACGGCUAACUACGUGCCAGCAGCCGCGGUAAUACGUAGGUGGCAAGCGUUAUCCGGAAUUAUUGGGCGUAAAGCGCGCGUAGGCGGUUUUUUAAGUCUGAUGUGAAAGCCCACGGCUCAACCGUGGAGGGUCAUUGGAAACUGGAAAACUUGAGUGCAGAAGAGGAAAGUGGAAUUCCAUGUGUAGCGGUGAAAUGCGCAGAGAUAUGGAGGAACACCAGUGGCGAAGGCGACUUUCUGGUCUGUAACUGACGCUGAUGUGCGAAAGCGUGGGGAUCAAACAGGAUUAGAUACCCUGGUAGUCCACGCCGUAAACGAUGAGUGCUAAGUGUUAGGGGGUUUCCGCCCCUUAGUGCUGCAGCUAACGCAUUAAGCACUCCGCCUGGGGAGUACGACCGCAAGGUUGAAACUCAAAGGAAUUGACGGGGACCCGCACAAGCGGUGGAGCAUGUGGUUUAAUUCGAAGCAACGCGAAGAACCUUACCAAAUCUUGACAUCCUUUGACAACUCUAGAGAUAGAGCCUUCCCCUUCGGGGGACAAAGUGACAGGUGGUGCAUGGUUGUCGUCAGCUCGUGUCGUGAGAUGUUGGGUUAAGUCCCGCAACGAGCGCAACCCUUAAGCUUAGUUGCCAUCAUUAAGUUGGGCACUCUAAGUUGACUGCCGGUGACAAACCGGAGGAAGGUGGGGAUGACGUCAAAUCAUCAUGCCCCUUAUGAUUUGGGCUACACACGUGCUACAAUGGACAACACAAAGGGCAGCGAAACCGCGAGGUCAAGCAAAUCCCAUAAAGUUGUUCUCAGUUCGGAUUGUAGUCUGCAACUCGACUACAUGAAGCUGGAAUCGCUAGUAAUCGUAGAUCAGCAUGCUACGGUGAAUACGUUCCGGGGUCU
rnacentral:rRNA from 1 species